rnacentral:misc_RNA from 1 species
GACAACACACAUCAGUAUUUCAAUAUGAAGAAAAAUCAGAAUUUCCAACUAAAAUUGAUCCAAAUUACUAUAUAUUAAAACAAAAGGCAGCUCUCAUCAAACUUUGACUAUUUUUUACUCAGAACUUGCAAAGAGUGUAGGAGCAAGUACACUAUAACUUUGUAACUACCUGUUAUACCUUUUCCUUCUUGAUCCAUUUACAAACAGUUAAAACAUAAAUAUCAGAUCAAAACUAUAAAGUUGUCCAAGUAAAGGAAGUAGCGACAAACGUCUAAGAAGUAAGUGAACCUCCAAACCAUCAAAUCCGAGUUGAUCAAGCUGGUUCAACAUCAAGUUUCACUCUUUCGAAAUAUCUCAUUCUGGAACAUAUUGAAGACUCCCCUUGUACAGUGAACAACGAGUAAUCAAUCAGCACGCUUGUAGGACGGGUGUUUCUUCGCAGACCUUGCAUUCUCAUACUCAAAUCUCAAAACAUUAGGAAUAUGAGAAGUAUCCUUAACAUAAAAGAACCUCCCAAAAGCACUCUCUUCAAUAGCAGGAAACAAACAACUGAGCACAUUGUUAACAAUCCAAAACCAACCCCCACCAAGCACAGUUCCCAAAGCAGCACCAGCAAACACCUGUGCAACCGUAUGAUAACCCAAAUACACCCUCGAAUACAUCGUCAAAACCGCCAUUGGCCAAACCAAAACAACAGCAACCAACAACUGAUUUCUAAAAAUUAGCCCCAAUCUCUUAUAAGUCAAUAGAGUAACAUACACAGCAAAGAAAAACAUAUACUGGGAAUGACUAGAAGGCCAUCCAUGAGAAUCACACAUUUCAAGAAGUGCACAAGUUUCGGGUCGGGCUUGCUGAACAGAUUUCUUUAUAAUUUCAUUGAUAAACUGAGAGAUGAUAAGCCCAAUUGCAAAGAACAUACCUUGAAGCUCUCUACGAAAGAUAAAGUGAGAAAUGAAACCACCAAGGCUUAUAAAUACAGGAACCAAUGAAACCCAAGCCAAAAAAUGGCCUAAUUGAUCCCCCUUUCGGUAUCUAACAUGGGUAAGUGUCACUGCUUUCAAUGGAUGAUGAGACAUUGAAAAAGAUUGAAUUUUUAGUCAGAUCUGUGAUGUGGGGAAGAGUAAAAACCACUGAGGGAACACCCUUUUAAAGAUUAUUGAGAAUUGAAGUGAAAUCAAGAACGGUGAAAAGGGGGGCAGAUGUUGUGAGUUGUUGAAG